GAAAUACAAUUUUCUUGUUUCAUCGUAUGGUGCCUCGUGAAUAAAUAUUUUCUCGUUUCUUCUCGUGAAUUUGUCGCCACUCAAUUAUUCGACGGUUGGACUCAGGUUUUCUCGGAGGUCGCAGCGAUCGAAUUCACUUUCGAAUUGUCUUUGAUGAUUGAUUUUACGCCCCUGGAUCCCACUUCGGCUCUCCACCGAUUCGUUUUUCGUCGUUAGAAAGUCCGCGAAUUGCCGCCUGCUCUUUCUUUCCUCUCAUUCAAACUUCACGCUUCGACUUGCCGUUCGAAAUAAGCGAUCGGCUAGUCCGCUGUUUUGUGCCGGCUUCCCUACGCGCAACUCCGCGCAGUACAUGCGCCCAGGAUCAUAAAUACGGAAUGAACAAAUACGCGAUACUUCGUGACUCACGCCCCUCCGAGAAUGUGGAACGCGGAUAGCGGCUUUAUAUUAUCCGCACGUUCAUUCGUACGCGUACGUCAUCCCGUCGCGUUAAUUCGUCCCCGCGGACGCAACACCUCGAGGAAAAUAUAACGAGCCCCAAUGGGGGCGGAAUCGAAACUUUUCCCGGGGACUCUUGGAGUGGAAAAACCUGCGAGAAUCCUCUGACCUCUCACAAGAGAGACUCGAGUCCGUCCGUACGUGAGAGCAGCGUUUUUUCUCGCAUAAAUGCGGACACGCGUGUGUAGAUGCUUCGAAGUUAUUACACGUUCGUGCUCCGGCGUGUCUCGUCAAGAGUGUGGAUACGUUCGACCAGUUUUUGUGGGAUACCACAGCGUCGUCCUGGUAUUUCCGGGCUCGAGACCUUCCAACGUCGCAAAUCCCGACAGUUUACGCGCGAGCAAGAGCUCGUCUGUGAGUGAGUGAACGUGUGAGAGAAAAGUAUAAAGAUACGAAGGAGUUUUAAUACACAAGUCCAUCGGUCUCUUCGCACUCGGGAUUUUUCUUACUCCAAAAUGACCGUGCCCGAAGAAAUGGCUACGGAAACCGCGAACAAAAAAGCCGAGCGUGAGGCUCUUCGCGGAGUCAUACAACAAUGGAACGCCAAUCGUCUGGACCUUUUCGAACUCUCGGAGCCAAACGAGGAUCUGGAAUUUCACGGCGUCAUGAGAUUUUACUUUCAAGACAGCGGGCAAAAAGUCGCGACGAAAUGCAUCAGAGUUGCAUCGGAUGCGACGAGUCAAGCUGUGAUUGAGACGCUGAUAGAAAAAUUUCGGCCGGAUAUGCGAAUGCUUUCGGUUCCCGAGUACGCUCUUUACGAGAUUCACGAGAACGGAGAAGAGAGGAAACUCGGUCUCGAGGAAAAACCACUUCUCGUCCAGUUGAAUUGGCACAUCGACGAUCGGGAAGGGCGUUUUUUGUUGCGUCGAAUCGACGACAAGACGAAUGCUCAGGGCGUCGGUUUUGCCGAAGGCACGAGCUUUCGUAGAAAGUUGAGCAAACGCGAGAAGAAACAAAUGAAGAAACAAGAAAAAUUGAGUCGUUUGAAAAGCGCUGGAGAAACCGAAGACACUACGUUGACCCUCGACCAAAAUGGUGUCGCUGAAAAACUUUAUACAGAACUUCCGGAAACGAGUUUCACUCGGAGUAUAUCGAAUCCCGAGGCGGUAAUGCGGCGUCGAAGGCAGCAAAAGCUUGAGAGGAAGCUGCAACAAUUUCGAAGUAAGGACGGAGGUCCCGAUACCGGUGGAACUUUAAAAAUUUAUGGCGAGGCGCUCUGCAAGGACGUGCCUUACAAGACUCUAUUGUUGAGCGUCAGGGAUUCGGCGGCCCAGGUAGUCAGAGAAAUGUUGGCAAAGUACGGCCUCGACAAGGUGGAUCCACAGCAGUAUUGUCUCGUGCAGGUGAACGGUGAAAAUGUCAGCUCGAACGCUCAUCAAGAAUACAUUCUCGACGACGACGAGUGUCCAUUGGCCAUCCUCAUGAAUCACCCAUCGACUCGUGGCUCGAUAAUGUUCCACGUGAGAAGAAGACCGGCGGAUUACGUGCCGCGAAAGCGAAAAAAGAAACCGGCAGGAAAAUGGGGCGAAUACGAUCACAGGUACGAGGACGAGAGGUUGCCGUUUCUUCUCGAGCUCAAUCCGGAUGGUACGGAUAUACCAAAUGGCACAGGAGUCCGGCAUCGUUUGCAACCAAACGUGACGGAAGUUGGAUCGGAAAGACCAAUUGGGCCACAAGCGGUACAGGCACAAACUCUGACGCUAUCCGGCUCGACGGUUAUGCCGAGGCAUUGCGUUAUCGCCUUCACCGAAAACAUCGUCACUCUUACUCCUUGCUCGAGGGAUGCUCAUACCUAUGUGAAUAAUCAGAGGAUAACACAGACGACAAUUCUUCAGAACGGAGCCAUCAUCAAAUUCGGACGAAUGCACACCUUCAGAUUCAUCGACCCUGCACCAGAAGAUCGCAUGAGACAACGCCACGACUCCAACAGACAAAUGGAUUACACGUACGACAGACGUUCGCCAGAUGCUAAUAGUCAGGAGGUCAGCUCGGAAAAGUACAGAUCUGGAUCAGGCACACCAAACGGUGGCAACAGCUCGAACCCACCGAGCCCGACGAAAUCAUCAGCCGCGAGUCCUCGCACAUCCUCCCAUAAUGCACAAGCACCCGAGGGCACACACAAUUAUGAGACGACCUUCGACCUUGAUGGCAAUGUGGAGACUGCCAGUCUAACGAGCAGUCGGGAUGGCAACAGGCUUUCGCAAUACGAGCGUCAACAACAGCAACAGCAGCAGCAGCAGCAACAACCGAGGGGAACGGAUCCAAUAUUGCCGGCCGUGCUGGAGUUCCUUGAGGAAACGGAAGAGGCUUUUCUUCACGCUGUUAUAACGGACGUUGAGCCAUCGGCCCCGCAGUUCAAGCUCUCACCGACUUACACUCUCUAUUUGGCGGCGAGAUAUCGCGCAAGUACGCACUAUCGGCCAGAGCUGCAGCCGACCGAGCGUGCACACAGACUGACAGUGAUGUUGGCGAAAGUGGCGACGAUGAUACAGCGAGUGAUACAAGAGCGUUACAUGGAUGCAUCCUCUUUGGCGCUCUGGUUGGCUAAUGGAUCAGAGCUUCUGCAUAUGCUCAAGAGCGAUCGUCACGUUGGAGCUUUUUCGACGAGAGCUCAGGACAUAUUGGCGGACGCGGUGCACACGGCAUUCGCGUCACUCGUACGCUGCAUUUCCCUCGAGCUCGCACCAGCGAUGUCACAAUUUAUGGCCGACGCCGACGAGCCCGCCAAAGAGGCUGGUGUUUUGCAAAUAUUUUCCAACACAAUGGCCCUCCUGAGACGAUGUCGGGUCAAUGCCGCCCUCACCAUACAAUUGUUCAGUCAUCUCUUCCACGCUAUAAACUCGACGGCCUUCAACGCUCUCGUCUCAAACGGCAAUCUCUGCGUCAGAUGGUUCGGUCGCAGGCUAAAAGCUCGCUUGAACGCCCUCGAGACGUGGGCCGAACGACAAGGCCUCGAAUUCGCCAGUCAGUGUCAUUUAGCCACGAUAAUGCAGGCCACUCAUCUCCUCCAAGCACCCAAGUACAAUGCCGAAGAACUCGCCACUCUGAGCUCCACUUGUUUCAAAUUGAAUUCCCUCCAAGUACGCGCUCUCCUUCAAAAGUAUCAACCCGCCGCCGACGAACCAAGACUGCCCGCCGAAUUGAUCGAAAAUGUCGUCAGAGUUGCCGAAAGCGUUGCCGACACCCUCGCCCGGGCCGAUGGCCGCGAAAUACGCCUCGAGGAAGAAACCACUUUGGCUCUCGCUCUUCUUUUACCCGAGGAUGGAUACAGCUGCGAAGUUAUCAGAGGUGUCCCACCUGGCUUGGCCGAAUUCCUCAUGCCCCUUCAACGCGAUGGUCUGUGUAGAAUGGCCCCCCAACCUACCAGCAGCGGCUAUUGGACCAUAUACAUGAUCGAUCAUCAUAACAACUUACGGAGUCCGAGUGCAAUGAGCAAUCGAUCAGGCGGUUAUUCCGGUCACGUUGGACAGAAUCACGGCGGACAGCCGGAAAUUCAGAUCAUCAAGUUACACAAGUCGACGAAUGGAAUGGGACUGAGUAUUGUUGCGGCAAAGGGUGCUGGCCAGGAUAGGCUUGGCAUUUAUAUAAAGAGCGUGGUCGCUGGUGGUGCUGCAGACGCGGAUGGAAGAUUAACAGCCGGUGAUCAACUGCUCAAAGUAGACGGACAAAGUUUGGUCGGAAUAACGCAAGAAAAAGCUGCCGAGUAUUUGGUGCGAACAGGCCCGAUCGUGACGCUAGAAGUCGCUAAACAGGGUGCCAUAUAUCAUGGAUUAGCCACGUUGCUGUCACAGCCAUCUCCCGUUAUGACCAGAGCAGCGCACAAGGCCCGACCAAAGUCGGAACAGUUAGAGCCUCCGCGACAUAUGGAAAUGCCGCCGCAGCCGUCAACCUCGCACUCGAUGGGAAAUCUAUUGACGAUGCCGCGACAACAAAAUCACGUUUAUCAAGAGCGUCUCGUCGAUUGGAACGUAGAUCGCGUGCCAAUACCAGGUGCGACAGUAACACAAGUUGAAAAAGCGAAGACGCAAUAUUUUAAUAAUUACGAAUUUGCUAAUAAUGCGUAUCAGAGUCAGAGCAUAGGUCAUCAUCAUCAUCACCAUCAGGACGCGAAUUCAACCGGACAAAUGAAAUUAUUGUCGUCGCGUCCCCCAAUUCUUAAUAAUACUUACUUAACGAUGUAUCCGAUCGACGAGUCACCUCGCGACGAGGAUUAUACGAGAUCCUGCAACCAUCGGACCAAUAACAAAAGGCCAAUUCCUAUUAUACAAGAGCCUAAUCAGAUGUUCCUAACUAUUCCGAGCCAAAUCGAGCGUUAUCCUCCUUAUCCCGUGAGAAAUAAUGAGCAACAUUGUCAGAUGCUUGAUGAAACGACGUGCGAUCCGCAGUUCGGUUAUUACAGCAAGGAUAAGACUGAAUUAACGUUCCCGGCGUUAAAUCGUUCCCGAGACAGCUUAAAUUCGUACGAAUGUGCUGACACCACGAGAGACACGUUCUCCUUUGAGAGCGAACCGUCGAUACCGUUCAUCGACCAGCUCGAUGAAAGUUAUCAAGUCUCCAGUAGAUCCGAAGAGAAUAUACUGUCGUCCAGUUGGUCAGCUGACAACCGAAAUUCAGCGAGAAAAUUCGCAUACGAAUCCAACAGAGAUUCCAACAAUUUGCAUAUCAACCUCAUGAAGUGUCAUCACGCGAGUCGCGGUUGCCCACAGUUGACGAAUCCUCGUCCCAGCAGUGCUCUUCAACAACGCACAAGAGAAAUCGACGAAAGAACGAUAAGAACAAACAGCCUGGACCGAAACAUUGGUGAAAUAAGAUUAACGACCGCGCGCUCGUCCCUCGGUGAUAUCGAUGUUUCAGCAACGAGUGGAAAUGUCAUAGUGACUCACUGUUGUUGCCACGGUCACCUGACUCAUUGUCAGGCUCACGAAACUAUUGAGGUUGAAACUGACAGGAAAAAUUCGCCUACCACAGAGACAAACGUUACCGAGCCGGAGGACGAUAGCAACGAGAGUUCUGAGAGUGUUGACAGUCGCAUCGAGCCAUCCAGCGAAGAAAAAGAAGAAUUAAAUUCUACAAAGAUGCGAGAUAUUAUGCCAGAAUUGAACUUGGAUUUGAGCGGUUUGAAUAGCGACGUAUCCAGCGACGAUUCAAACGUUCGAGAAAAAUGCUGGCGCUCCCCGGACGAAGUGAGACUGGGAUGCGGCAGGGUGGCAGCAUUGGCCAAACAUUUUUCCAAACUCGGUGAAGCUGGUCUGAUCAAAUUCAAGUCUAUUAAACUGAGCGCUUCGAGACAAUUCGUCUCCGAGCCUGACAUCGCCUCACCAAGGAGUCCCGAAAUCUCGGGACACAAGAGAUCGAACAGAAAAGAGUACAAAUCCGAGGGUGAUCUCUCGAAAGCGGACAAAAGCAUUGCCACCACGCCCGAGAAAGAGUGGAGCAUGAUUUUACUCGAUAUUCAAACAAAAAACGAGCUGGACAUGAGAGUUCUCUAUGAGAAAACCGAUGGACUCGAUGAGAGUAAAGUCCAGUGUGAGGAAGGUGUCGACGACGCGCCAGGCGAAUUGAAAAAAAGUAGCUCAAAGCUCUCCCUCGCCGAGCAGCAAGAAAUAAUACAACAGUUGAAGGAAUUUGCAAACUUGGACAAUGCCGACGCCCCUUUGUUCAUCCCGGAACACGAAGAGCCGAUAUCGGAGGUUGUUCAUUAUUCAAAAGCUUCGAGCUCCGCUAAAGAAACAAUGACAGAGUCCAUCGAAAGCUUGAACGAUCAACAUGGCGAUGCGACUCGAGCGCCGAGGUGUAGCAAAAUUGUUGGUAAAAUGACUCUCGAACAUUUUCGGAAGCAUUCUUUGCCGACGAUUUUGAGUACUUUCGAUGUAACGCCGAGUCUUGAAUGUUGCAGUAAAAAAGUCAAUAAGUUGGAAAAAUAUUGGUCAUUGAAGGAUUUGAUGGCAAACGAUGAGGAUGCACGGACCGAGACUCCAAACGACACCGAGCAAUCACCGAAAUACUUUAUUUUUCCAACGAGCUCGAGAGUCGUUUCCGCACCGGAAAUAACGAACGAAACGAUAAAUAUAUUUCACACGCGAUCGUUAAAUUCUAGUGGUAAUUUAACGAUACGCAGUACCAUCUCAAUUAGCGACGAGCAUCUCGAGAAGCCAGUGUCGAGCGCACCGGCCGAGAAUUCAAACGAUUCAAAAAAGUUGGAGCGAGCAUCGAGUCCGAUUAUUUUUCGAGACUCAUCCGCGCAAGGUUUGAAGAAAGAACCUCCCAAAACUAAAUUUCCCGGUAGUUUUAUCAGAACGAGAAAACUCUCGAAGAGCCAGGACGCUCUGGGGGAGAAAAAAACUAGUGUAAGUUUAACAGAAUUCACAGGAAAGCCCGUGGCACGAUCUUUGGAAAAAAUUUCUCUUCCCAAAAGUGACACAAUUAUCUCCAAUAUGAAUAAACUGCACGAAUGUGAAAAUUCAAUGAGCCGCAACGAUUGCCCGCUGACAGCUGGCACGAGUGGUGCUUGUCGUAUGAGAGAACGUUCGUCCAAGCAAAACUCUAAUUAUUACAACACAAUACCGAUCAAGAGCAGUGCUAAGAUGGGAAAACCUGUGAGAAAAAAAUCUUUAAUCGUAAGAAAAAGAUCAAAGAGCGACAUGGACGUGUCCGAGAGAAAACCAACACCCAGAUUCGAGCGGGGAGAUUGGAUAUUUCGCGAUUUUCCACCGUUGGAAAUCGAUGCGGAAUCUCGACCUCGUCGCAUGAGCGAACGCGAUCUACCAUCACGGCUCGGCCACGAACCGACUCCCCAGCAAAUUCAUAGCAGCAAGUCUGUCCCGGCCCUGCAUAAUGUAGGGACAGAGGGAAAGCAGCAGCACGAAGUAUUCAAUCCCGGAUACAGCCGUGCCUCGUCGAGUAACAGUGUCACUCCACCCGUCCAACCACCCCCAAUGCCAGCUAUGAACGGUGCAACUUCCCUACGCUCUCGAUCGAGCCAUAACUUGCACGAUCCUAUGAGAGUAGGCACACUACCACCGAGCGGGCUGGUCAGUCGACAACAAUCGUCGCCCAAUCUUACGCCAAGUCAGAUGCAUCCUAAUAUGCCAACUAAUAUGCAGAGCAACGAAGCUGAGAGGUUUUACCAAAAUUUGAGCGUUUACAGAAAUCAAGAUCCGACGAUGAAACAACAACCAAGUCCACCGAAUCCUGGUGACGAUAGGAGUCCGUUGCACACGCAAAAAAGUUUGCGGGGAUCGCAGAACUCGCUGAAUCGGCCAACCCCGGAGCUCAAUCAGGCGCGUGAUCGACCAAUCUCAGCUUACAUUCCGCAGGCUCAACAGCCAACAGGAUAUCCGAGCAAUCAGAUGCAGCAUCAAGGCCCACCGCCGAGAUCUCAAUCGUCGCGCGAUAUAAUACGCCAAGAGGCGAAGCUGCAAGAAAUGCAAGAAGAAGUUAGGCGUCGUGAGCUCAGAGGAAGCGGACCGUCGGCUCUGAAUCAAUACAGACCGAAUAACUAUAGCGCGAGAGCGAUAACAGCGGCGCAGACAGCGAACGCGAUGAGACCAUCGAGGCCGAUUGGUUCGACGCCAAAUUUGGGUCCAAAUUCACCAACCUACUCGACACGACCAAUGGGACCUAAUUACGGUUACGCCGAGCAGUAUCAGCAGUACGGUCAAUUCGGCAACAAACAUUCGCAAGCUACGAAUCAUUAUGGUCUAAUACCAAAAAGUAAGAACGAGCCGGUACGAGCUCAUCCAAUGGAAAACGCAAGAUCUCCUGGCGAUUACGAUCCGAACCGCCAAGUGAUGGAGCAUAAUCGUCAAUUCGGUAGUGGAUCGUUGAACGGUCCUCAGUAUUCAAACGGACCCGGUGACGUCAGGAACGGUCAACAGCCAAACGAGAAUCUCCACGGUCGAACUCAAAACGGCGAUGGAAGUUUGAUGAUGAAUGCCGAUAGUAUAGCCCCCUCAAGGCCCAUGUUGUCAGAGGAUGCCUACAGGGAGAGUCCGCCCCCGCCGCCGCUGAACACUUCAACGCAUCCGUUGUACAGUAAACCCACCGCGGAUUCUACGCGAUACACGGCUAGCAUGCAAGACCCGCCUCGUGGUGGUUACUAUCCGGCGCAAGGAGCUACGCAACAACAGCAGCAACAGCAGCAAACACAAGCCCGUCAGUAUCAAUAUAGCGCAACGAAUCCUUGGCAACGCGAGGAAAGAGAAAAAGAACAAGCGCGACGUAGAGAAGCAGCGAGACUGUGGAGAGAUCAACAAAUCGCAGAGCUGAGUUCUUUACCGCAAAGAACUUCUCAACAGGAGGAACAGCUUCGAGCCCUUCAAUUGGAACGUGAUUUCCAGAAGAGGGCGGAAGAAGCGGCCAAUCAACAGGAUGACGAUGACGAAAGUAACGAUCUAGAUAACGAGAGUGCUCAAAGGGUUCAAGGAUUGCUUAGGAUGGCUGCUAAUCAGGAUAGAAACAAUCAACUCAAUCAACAACAACAACAACAACAUACGUUGAUGAGGACGAACGCGAAUAAUCAAUCGAUACGAGGCACUCUGUCGCCCCAACCGGUCGGCAGUCAACUGCAGUCGACCAGUAUCCCGUUGCAUACUGCAACUAGUCAGCAAGGAUCGGCCCACGGAUCGGGAAAUUCAUACACCGGACAAAAUGACGGAACGAAUUUGCACAAUCAGCAAACUUCCAAUCAAAAUACAUCGGGUCAGCAACCACCGAUGUCACCGACUUAUGGAUCGACGAUGGGACAACAAUUUAUCAAUAACGCCAAAGGCAGCACUACUUCGUCACAGCAGAUGAACGAGGAACGUGAGAGACAACGGAGAAUAGACGAACUGAAAAAAAUACAAGCCGAGUUCGAUGAGAGUCAGCGAAAACGCGAGGAUGAAAUUAGGCAACAACAACAACAGCUUCAGUUACAUCAACAGCAGAUGCAACAAUUGUACGCCCAACAACAGCAACAUCAACAGCAACAACAGAUGCAAUCGAACUUGAAGAGCCAGCAACAAUUGCAUCCGGGAAUGUUGAGACUCGAUAAUCUUGUUAUCAACGGCCCGAGCUCACCACCCUCCUCACAAAACGGCAGCAACGAUGCUCCACCUCCACCCGAGCGUGGUUCGAGUUACGCUGUAAUGUCACAACAAAGUGCCCUACGAUCGAACACCUCGACGACCUCGAACGUACCUCUCGGUUCACAUCCGACUGCUACGAUAAAGAGAGUCUCGUUCCACGAUCCAAACGCGAAUAUCGAACCACCGCGCAACGUUUCAUCAGUCACUUCGAGCACCCCUUCCUCCAUUACCAUGGACACGAUAAGAGAGGACCCAAACGUACCCAAAUAAGAAUUUUAUAAAUGACGCGGAAAAUCUCCUCGCAUCCCCUAAUACCCCAGAAGGACCAGGUGGACAAUUCCAGGGAGCAACGCCCGGUGUCAUUGGAGCUCAAGAGGUUUAUAAAGAUCCAAGACAAAAACGCCUU
rnacentral:misc_RNA from 1 species